GUUAGAUUCAUUUUCUCCACCAACAACAUCAUUUACAACUAAAGAGAAAACUCUUACAGAGUUACUGUCUACUGUAACAUUAAAGCCAACCACAACUGAAGAGAAAUCUACUAGAGAGCUGUCGACAUUAUGGAAAACACCAACAAUAACAACACCAACACCAACAAGAACAACAACUAAAGAUAAAACUUCUACAGGAUCUGUGCUUGUCCUACUGCUGUCAAUCACCGGUGUGUGUGUUUUACUGGCUGUACUGAUGAGCGUCUGUGUCUGCAGGUUUGUCAGUAAGUCUAUCACUUUAGCUUCUGCUUUAACUAUUGCCCAAUGUAGUAUGUGUGUCUAACUGAUCAUGUAGAAACAGCGCCUUGCUAAAGUAUUUUAUUGGGAUUUAUUGCCAACACAAAGUGGCACAUCAUUGUGAAAUGGACGGAAAAUUAUUCAUCCAUCUUUACUCUGAUACCGCUAACUAAAAUCCAGUCGAACCGAUUGCCUUCAAAAGUCACCUAAUUAGUAAGUAAAGUCCACCUGUGUGUAAUUUAAUCUUAGUAUAGAGACAGCUGUAUUGUAAAGCCCUCAGAGGUUUGUUAGAGAACAUUAGUAAACAAACAGCAUCAUGAAGCCCAAGGAGCACAGCAGACAGGUCAGGUUGUGGAGUAAAUAAAUAAGAUAAAGAUAAAGUUAUUG